AAAACUAUAAAAUAAAAUAACAGCGGAGGGAGACAUUCAAUGGCAUGUUUACAUGGAACAGAGAAUUCACCUUGAGCGCUUGUAUCUGAAGCCGUUAAAACCUUUGUAAAGGAAUUAACUAUUGGCCUAAAUUGAUUUUCAUUCUCAGUAGGGAUUACAACUUGCUAAAAAUUUAACAAAAUCAGAAAAUCAAUGCGAUAUAAUAGUAGUAAAAUA
rnacentral:sRNA from 1 species